AUUGAACGCUGGCGGCAUGCUUUGCACAUGCAAGUCGAACGGUAACAGGCCGCAAGGUGCUGACGAGUGGCGUACGGGUUAGUAAUGCAUCGGAACGUGCCCAGUCGUGGGGGAUAACUACUCGUAAGAGUAGCUAAUACCUCAUACGAUCUAUGGAUGAAAGCGGGGGACCGUAAGGCCUCGCGCGAUUGGAUCGGCCGAUGUCAGAUUAGGUAGUUGGUGGGGGAAAGGCACACCAAGCCAACGAUCUGUAGCUGGUCUGAGAGGACAACGAGCCACACUGGGACUGAGGCACGGCCCAGACUCCGACGGGAGGCAACAGUGGGGAAUUUUGGACAAUGGGCGCAAGCCCGAUCCAGCAAUGCCGCGUGCAGGAAGAAGGCGUUCGGGUUGGAAACUGCUUUUGGACUUAACGAAACGGCUCUGGUUAAUACCCGAGGCUAAUGACGGUACCGUAAGAAUAAGCACCGGCUAACUACGUG
rnacentral:rRNA from 1 species